CUCGUAGGCGGCCAACUAAGUCAGACGUGAAAUCCCCAGGCUUAACCUGGGAACUGCGUCUGAUACUGGAUGGCUUGAAUCCGGGAGAGGGAUGCAGAAUUCCAGGUGUAGCGGUGAAAUGCGUAGAUAUCUGGAGGAAUACCGGUGGCGAAGGCGGCAUCCUGGACCGGCAUUGACGCUGAGGAGCGAAAGCUAGGGGAGCAAAC
rnacentral:rRNA from 1 species